UUUGUCUACUUAAUCUAUAUAAACUCAAUUUAUUUUAAAAUGAAUUUAAUGGAUGUAACACAUCUAAUACUAAGUUUCAACAACGGAUCUCUUGGCUCUCGCAUCGAUGAAGAGCGCAGCGAAAUGCGAUAAGUAAUGUGAAUUGCAGAAUUCAGUGAAUCUUCGAAUCUUUGAACGCACCUUGCGCUCCUUGGUAUUCCUUGGAGCAUGCCUGUUUGAGUAUCAUGAAAUUUUCAAAGUCAAACCCUUUGUUAACUCAAUUGGUUCUGCUUUGGUAUUGGAGGUCUAUUGCAGCUUCACACCUGCUCCUCUUUGUGCAUUAGCUGGCUCUCAGUGUUAUGCUUGGUUCCACUCAGCGUGAUAAGUUAUUUAUCGCUGAGGACACCCUGGUAAAAAGGGGUGGCCAAGGUAAAUGCAGAUGAACUGCUUCUAACAGUCCAUUGUCUUGGACAAAUAUUAAUUUUAUGAUCUG
rnacentral:misc_RNA from 1 species